rnacentral:misc_RNA from 1 species
GCGCCCUUUCCACACCAUUCCCGCACCCUUCUCUGUGGCUUGAACCAAUCCGAAACGUCCACAUUUUGCCUUCUACUCUCGACUCUCUCUUUCUAUACUUUAUCGACGCUUCCUCGGCCCGCAAAACUGGUCUGCCAUCACCGCAAACUCUGAAGGCCAGAUAGCGCACUGAGUGCAUGGGAGGGGAGACGCUCCUCAUUAGGCGCAAUGAGGGGUGGAGAUCCAGAGGAGGAGGAGGAGGGUGUGUAGAGCCACGUUGAGCACGCUGCUGAACUGGAACCGAGCGGGCCACGGCCAGAGAUGUUAGCCCAACUACGAGGCAGUCACGGGCCAGCCACGAGUCAGACAGAGUCAUCCUGUCGUGUCGUGUGAUUUUUCUCACAGCCACAGUGGGUGCUCCUACAGUGUACAGUACUGUACUCGUGCCGGUGCUGUACCUGGAUUUGAUGAUACGAUACGAUUGAUAACUAGUCGUGAUCGCGUGACAGAGACAAGCAAGAAGCGAAAACGAGAUUAGCAGCCUCCAACUCACCGAGACACGCAGCCUCCAACUCACCGAGACAUGCACCAAGACGCGCACCGAAACGUGCACCAAGACGCGCACGGAAACGAUAUCAUGUGUAUUAUUGAACGCCAGUAACCCGGCUUACUAGAUAUACAGCUGUAA